CAGCUUUGUUGUCAUUUUCUGGCAUUUCCAGGGACCGCUUGCAUGCUGAUAGAGGAGUCUUGUCCAGUUUCUGACGCUUCUGUGAGCUCCCUUCAGUUUUCAUAGCAUCAUCCUUUUUCUUGGCCUUUGGGGGUGGUAACAAGGCACCCAGGAUACCCCAAACACCUUUUUGUCCUGUUGGCUCAUUAACUCACCUGCAAAGUGGAGGGGCUCACUGAUUAGCCGCAUUAUUGCUUUGGUCAAGUCUGUGUCAAAUGUGCUGCACUUAAGUAUUACAUCAUCAAUGAACUGGUCCUUUACAAGCUCCUUCACAGUGUCUGAAAAAAGAAUAGCAUUAAUUAUAUUGCAGUAUGACACAACCUUUAAUUCUCGAUAAAACCUUACCCGAGAGUGAAUCUGAGAAUAAGAGUACAAUUGGUGUCUGCUCAUUAAGCGAUCCAGUUGCUCUGUGUAAAUCAAAACAACAUUAGCUGAUACCUAGACAGACAAGAGAUGCAUACAGGGGCGUGUUUAGAGAAAAAUGCAGGGUGGGGUCCAGUAGUAAUUCACUGACCAUGGAUCAAUUUAGCAAAUCUGCAUCCUUAGCUUUGGAAAUAGGUCACUAGAGAUCCACCUAGAAACUUUUUUUAUCCAAAUGUACACACUUGUCCCUCUGGACACAUGCCUGGCAUAGAUGGAAAGCUAGGUAAAGGAGACUUAUGGGAAAUCUUAGCGGUAUUUGCUUCUUACUUGAUAUGUUUAAAAAAGUCCUUGUCUUCGCAUUGCUCCAAGAUAAUCAAGCCAUAAGCCUUUUUCUCACACAAUUUUUUAGCUGUGCUGGAAUCAGCGCACUCGAUGAUUGACAGUCCAAUGCUCAAGAGACUUUCUACUGCAGACUGGGGAAGACUGCUAUCUUCAGUUUUCACGUAAAGACAAGAUUUACCAGCUUCAUCCUACGAAAAUAAAAACGAUUG